rnacentral:rRNA from 1 species
AUGAUUAUCCGGGCGUUACAAGCAUACAUGAUUAUUCGUCAAGAUACGAGCUCACAUUCAACAAACAACAAUCAAUCAACAAACAACAAUCAAUCGUGCCACAACAGUGUAAAACAGAAGUUAUACAACCAAUCAUUCAACAAAGCAUACAAGCCACACCAUCAAGCAAAUGCAAUAUUCACAGAGUCACACACACAGUCAAGCCAGACAUAUUCACCAUCAAGCCACAGUCACACACACAGAGAAUGGAGCACUUGCACACAAGAAACAGACAUAGAUAGGGGCACAACAGAGAAAGCUAUACAGAAAUUCCAGAACUUGAAUGAGUAA